GUGCCUAAUACAUGCAAGUCAAACGAGUUCUGAUUAUUGAAAGGUGCUUGCAUCUUGAUUUAAUUUUGAACGAGUGGCGGACGGGUGAGUAACACGUGGGUAACCUGCCCUUAAGUGGGGGAUAACAUUUGGAAACAGAUGCUAAUACCGCAUAAAUCCAAGAACCGCAUGGUUCUUGGCUGAAAGAUGGCGCAAGCUAUCGCUUUUGGAUGGACCCGCGGCGUAUUAGCUAGUUGGUGAGGUAACGGCUCACCAAGGCAAUGAUACGUAGCCGAACUGAGAGGUUGAUCGGCCACAUUGGGACUGAGACACGGCCCAAACUCCUACGGGAGGCAGCAGUAGGGAAUCUUCCACAAUGGACGCAAGUCUGAUGGAGCAACGCCGCGUGAGUGAAGAAGGCUUUCGGGUCGUAAACUCUGUUGUUGGAGAAGAAUGGUCGGCAGAGUAACUGUUGUCGGCGUGACGGUAUCCAACCAGAAAGCCACGGCUAACUACGUGCCAGCAGCCGCGGUAAUACGUAGGUGGCAAGCGUGAUCCGGAUUUAUUGGGCGUAAAGCGAGCGCAGGCGGUUUUUUAAGUCUGAUGUGAAAGCCUCGGCUUAACCGAGGAAGUGCAUCGGAAACUGGGAAACUUGAGUGCAGAAGAGGACAGUGGAACUCCAUGUGUAGCGGUGAAAUGCGUAGAUAUAUGGAAGAA
rnacentral:rRNA from 2 species